rnacentral:rRNA from 1 species
AUGUACAUUCCUACAACAUAGUGUUAAUGCAUUAGAUCCAAUUAAAAAUCCGCAAUUAAGCGCGCUCGGGCUAGAGUAGUACUGGGAUGGGUGACCACCCGGGAAUUCCUAGUGUGUUACAUG